rnacentral:rRNA from 2 species
UUGACCUCGGAUCAGGUAGGGAUACCCGCUGAACUUAAGCAUAUCAAUAAGCGGAGGAAAAGAAACCAACCGGGAUUGCCUCAGUAACGGCGAGUGAAGCGGCAAGAGCUCAAAUUUGAAAGCUGGCUCCUUCGGAGUCCGCAUUGUAAUUUGCAGAGGAUGCUUUGGGUGCGGCCCCCGUCUAAGUGCCCUGGAACGGGCCGUCAGAGAGGGUGAGAAUCCCGUCUUGGGCGGGGUGUCCGUGCCCGUGUAAAGCUCCUUCGACGAGUCGAGUUGUUUGGGAAUGCAGCUCUAAAUGGGUGGUAAAUUUCAUCUAAAGCUAAAUACUGGCCGGAGACCGAUAGCGCACAAGUAGAGUGAUCGAAAGAUGAAAAGCACUUUGAAAAGAGAGUUAAACAGCACGUGAAAUUGUUGAAAGGGAAGCGCUUGCGACCAGACUCGCCCGCGGGGUUCAGCCGGCAUUCGUGCCGGUGUACUUCCCCGUGGGCGGGCCAGCGUCGGUUUGGGCGGCCGGUCAAAGGCCCCUGGAAUGUAGUACCCUCCGGGGUACCUUAUAGCCAGGGGUGCAAUGCGGCCAGCCUGGACCGAGGAACGCGCUUCGGCACGGACGCUGGCAUAAUGGUCGUAAA